rnacentral:snRNA from 1 species
GUGCUCGCUUCGGCAGCAUAUAUACUGAAAUUGGAACGAUAGCAUGGCCCCUGCACAGGGAUGACACACAAAUUCAUGAAGCGUUCCAUAUUGAA